rnacentral:rRNA from 1 species
UUUAAGCUUCCUACGGGAGGCUGCAGUAAGGAAUAUUGGUCAAUGGACGGAAGUCUGAACCAGCCAUCCCGCGUGCAGGAUGACUGCCCUAUGGGUUGUAAACUGCUUUUAGCAGAGACGAAACGCCUUCAUUUAUGAGGGUCUGACGGUAUCUGCAGAAUAAGCACCGGCUAACUCCGUGCCAGCAGCCGCGGUAAUACGGAGGGUGCAAGCGUUAUCCGGAAUCACUGGGUUUAAAGGGUGCGUAGGCGGAUGAUUAAGUCAGUGGUGAAAUCUUGUCGCUUAACGAUAAAAUUGCCAUUGAUACUGAUUAUCUUGAAUUGGGUUGAGGUUAGCGGAAUGUGACAUGUAGCGGUGAAAUGCAUAGAUAUGUCAUGGAACACCAAUUGCGAAGGCAGCUAGCUGGGCCUUGAUUGACGCUGAGGCACGAAAGCGUGGGUAGCGAACAGGAUUAGAUACCCUUGUAGUCGAAUUCUU